AAAAUGAGUAAGACAGAAUACUAUCAAUGAAUCAGUCAAUGGAUAGUAAAAUGUGUCCAUAAUUUUAUGGUAGAUUUAUUAAAAAAAGAAAUUGCAAUAACUUUGUUAUUUUUAGAUAUUAUAAAAUUAUUUCUUCACAUAUAUGAUAAUAAUGGCAUGCCUGAUAAGCCCCUAAAGUAUUUGUACUAAUUAAAAAAUAGUGGUGUAUAUAAUUAAAAUUUUAAAG